GAUGAAGAACGCAGCGAAAUGCGAUAAGUAGUGUGAAUUGCAGAAUUCCGUGAAUCAUCGAGUCUUUGAACGCACAUUGCGCCCCCUGGUAUUCCGGGGGGCAUGCCUGUCCGAGCGUCAUUGCUGCCCUCAAGCACGGCUUGUGUGUUGGGCCUCCGUCCUCCUCCCGGGGGACGGGCCCGAAAGGCAGCGGCGGCACCGCGUCCGGUCCUCGAGCGUAUGGGGCUUCGUCACCCGCUCUUGUAGGCCCGGCCGGCGCUUGCCGACACAUCAAUCUUUUUUCCAGGUUGACCUCGGAUCAGGUAGGGAUACCCGCUGAACUUAAGCAUAUCAAUAGCGGAGGA
rnacentral:misc_RNA from 1 species